rnacentral:rRNA from 1 species
AGGUCAAGCAAGAAAGGGCACAAGGCGGAUGCCUUGGCACUGGGCGCCGAAGAAGGACGUGACAAGCUGCGAAAAGCUGCGGGGAGGAGCAAAUAUCCGUUAAUCCGCAGAUAUCCGAAUGGGGGAACCCACCGGUCGUAAUGGGCCGGUAUCCUGCGCUGAAUCUAUAGGCGUAGAGAAGGGAACGAGGGGAACUGAAACAUCUAAGUACCCUUAGGAAGAGAAAGAAAAAUCGAUUUCCCAAGUAGCGGCGAGCGAACGGGAAAGAGCCCAAACCGAAUUCUUAAGGAUUCGGGGUUGCGGACCGUGCAAGAGACUCAAGACACCUAGCCGAACAUACUGGAACGUAUGGACAAAGAGGGUGAAAUUCCCGUAGGCAAAAGGGGACGAGAGCGAGCGCGGCACCAGAGUAGUACCGGACACGUGAAACCCGGUAUGAAGCAGGGAGGCCCACCUCCCAAGGCUAAAUACGACCCAGUGACCGAUAGAGAAUAGUACCGUGAGGGAAAGGUGAAAAGGACCCCGGGAGGGGAGUGAAAGAGAACCUGAAACCUUGUGCUUACAAGCAGAGGGAGCGAAAGUGACCUCGUACUUUUUGUAGAACGGGCCAACGAGUUACGGUAUGGAGCGAGGUUAAGAUGCUGGAGCAUCGGAGCCGAAGCGAAAGCGAGUCUGAAGAGGGCGGAAGUUGCAUGCUGUAGACCCGAAACCGGGUGACCUAUCCAUGUGCAGGUUGAAGCGAGAGUAAAAUCUCGUGGAGGACCGAACCCAUAUACGUUGAAAAGUGUUGGGAUGACGUGUGGAUAGCGGUGAAAUUCCAAUCGAACCCGGAGAUAGCUGGUUCUCCUCGAAAUAGCUUUAGGGCUAGCCUGGAAGAGAGAUACACGGAGGUAGAGCACUGAAUGUUCUAGGGGCCUUCACCGGUUACCGAAAACUAUCAAACUCCGAAUGCCGUGCAAUCAGCUUCCGGAGUCAGACUAUGGGAGAUAAGUUUCAUAGUCGAGAGGGAAAGAGCCCAGACCUACAGCUAAGGUCCCAAAAUGUAAGUUAAGUGGAAAAGGAUGUGGAGCUGCAUAGACAGCUAGGAUGUUGGCUUAGAAGCAGCCACUCAUUCAAAGAGUGCGUAACAGCUCACUAGUCGAGUGGCUCUGCGCCGAAGAUAAACGGGGCUAAAACUUACUACCGAAGCUUAGGAUACUUUUAAGAGUAUGGUAGAGGAGCAUCGUAUACGGGCCGAAGCCAAACUGUGAGGUUUGGUGGACUGUAUAGGAGAGAGAAUGUUGGCAUGAGUAGCGAGAGACGGGUGAGAAUCCCGUCCGCCGAAAAUCUAAGGAUUCCUGAGGAAGGUUCGUCCACUCAGGGUAAGUCGGGACCUAAGCCGAGGGCGAAAGCCGUAGGCGAUGGACAACUGGUAGAGAUUCCAGUACCACCGAGCGUUGUAAGAGUGAAGUGGGGACACAGGAGGAUGAGCAGAGCGUGCCGUUGGUAGAGCACGUGCAAGCGUCGAGUGAGAAUUGGGAGGCAAAUCCCCCGAUUCAAUCGUGAGGCGUGAUGCGGAGGGAAAAAAAGUACCGGAAGCUGUGACAUUCAGACUGUCAAGAAAAGCCGCUAGCGAGACGUAAGGUGCCCGUACCGCAAACCGACACAGGUAGAUGAGGAGAGAAUCCUAAGGCGAGCGAGAGAACUAUUGUUAAGGAACUCGGCAAAAUGACCCCGUAACUUCGGGAGAAGGGGUGCCAUCGAAAGAUGGCCGCAGUGAAAAGGCCCAGGCGACUGUUUAGCAAAAACACAGGUCUCUGCGAAAGCGAAAGCUGAAGUAUAGGGGCUGACGCCUGCCCGGUGCUGGAAGGUUAAGGGGAGAGCUUAGCGUGAGCGAAGGUUUGAACUUAAGCCCCAGUAAACGGCGGCCGUAACUAUAACGGUCCUAAGGUAGCGAAAUUCCUUGUCAGGUAAGUUCUGACCCGCACGAAAGGCGUAACGAUCUGGGCACUGUCUCAACAAUAGACUCGGUGAAAUUGUAGUACCGGUAAAGAUGCCGGUUACCCGCAGCAGGACGGAAAGACCCCAUGGAGCUUUACUGCAGCUUGAUAUUGAGUUUCGGCAUUGCACGUACAGGAUAGGUGGGAGACUGAGAAUUCAGUACGCCAGUAUUGGAGGAGUCACCGUUGGGAUACCACCCUUGUAAUGUUGGAAUUCUAACCUGGUACCGUAACCCGGUAUGGGGACAGUGUCUGGCGGGCAGUUUGACUGGGGCGGUCGCCUCCUAAAGAGUAACGGAGGCGCCCAAAGGUUCCCUCAGUGCGGACGGAAAUCGCACGGAGAGUGUAAAGGCAGAAGGGAGCCUGACUGCGAGACAAACAGGUCGAGCAGGGACGAAAGUCGGGCUUAGUGAUCCGGUGGUACCGAGUGGAAGGGCCAUCGCUCAACGGAUAAAAGCUACCCUGGGGAUAACAGGCUGAUACCCCCCAAGAGUCCACAUCGACGGGGGUGUUUGGCACCUCGAUGUCGGCUCGUCUCAUCCUGGGGCUGAAGUAGGUCCCAAGGGUUGGGCUGUUCGCCCAUUAAAGAGGUACGCGAGCUGGGUUCAGAACGUCGUGAGACAGUUCGGUCCCUAUCCGCUGUGGGCGCAGGAGAUUUGAGUGGAGCUGUCCUUAGUACGAGAGGACCGGGAUGGACAUACCGCUGGUGCACCAGUUGUCUUGCCAAAGGCAUAGCUGGGUAGCCAAGUAUGGAAGGGAUAAGCGCUGAAAGCAUCUAAGUGCGAAGCCCCCCACAAGAAGAGAUCUCCGCCUUUAGAGGUAAGACCCGUGGAAGACUACCACGUAGAUAGGUCAGAGGUGGAAGCGCAGUAAUGUGUGAAGCUGACUGAUACUAAUCGGUCGAACGCUUGACCAAU